rnacentral:rRNA from 1 species
AAUGAACGCUGGCGGCAGGCCUAACACAUGCAAGUCGAACGGAUCCUUCGGGAUUAGUGGCGGACGGGUGAGUAACGCGUGGGAACAUACCCUUUGGUACGGAAUAGCCUCGGGAAACUGGGAGUAAUACCGUAUGUGGUCGAGAGACGAAAGAUUUAUCGCCAAAGGAUUGGCCCGCGUUGGAUUAGGUAGUUGGUGGGGUAAUGGCCUACCAUGCCGACGAUCCAUGGCUGGUUUGAGAGGAUGAUCAGCCACACUGGGACUGAGACACGGCCCAGACUCCUACGGGAGGCAGCAGUGGGGAAUCUUAGACAAUGGGGGAAACCCUGAUCUAGCCAUGCCGCGUGAUCGAUGAAGGCCUUAGGGUUGUAAAGAUCUUUCAGGUGGGAAGAUAAUGACUGUACCACCAGAAGAAGCCCCGGCUAACUCCGUGCCAGCCGCCGCAGUAAAAC